UACGUAGGGUGCAAGCGUUAAUCGGAAUUACUGGGCGUAAAGCGUGCGCAGGCGGCUUUGCAAGACAGAUGUGAAAUCCCCGGGCUUAACCUGGGAACUGCAUUUGUGACUGCAUAGCUAGAGUACGGUAGAGGGGGAUGGAAUUCCGCGUGUAGCAGUGAAAUGCGUAGAUAUGCGGAGGAACACCGAUGGCGAAGGCAAUCCCCUGGACCUGUACUGACGCUCAUGCACGAAAGGCGUGGGGAGCAAACGAGGAU
rnacentral:rRNA from 1 species